rnacentral:rRNA from 1 species
UCYGGUUGAUCCUGCCRGACCCGACUGCUAUCAGAGUGAGAUUAAGCCAUGCGAGUCAACGUAGCAAUACGUGGCACACGGCUCAGUAACACGUAGUCAACAUAACCAAAGGACGUGGAUAAACUCGGGAAACUGAGGCUAAACCGCGAUAGAUCAAGAUACCUGGAAUGGUUUUUGAUCAAAAUCUAUAUGGCCUUUGGAUUGGACUGCGUCCGAUCAGGCUGUUGGUGAGGUAAUGGCCCACCAAACCUGUAACCGGUACGGGCUCUGAGAGGAGGAGCCCGGAGAUGGGUACUGAGAAAAGGACCCAGGCCCUAUGGGGCGCAGCAGGCGCGAAACCUCUGCAAUAGGCGAAAGCCUGACAGGGUUACUCUGAGUGACUUUCGCUAAGAAAGUCUUUUGACACCUCUAAAAAUGGUGUAGAAUAAGGGGUGGGCAAGUCUGGUGUCAGCCGCCGCGGUAAUACCAGCACCCCGAGUGGUCGGGACGAUUAUUGGGCCUAAAGCAUCCGUAGCCGGUUUUACAAGUCCUCCGUUAAAUCCAGCUGCUUAACAGAUGGGCUGCGGAGGAUACUAUAAGACUAGGAGGCAGGAGAGGCAAGCGGUACUCAGUGGGUAGGGGUAAAAUCCGUUGAUCCAUUGAAGACCACCAGUGGCGAAGGCGGCUUGCCAGAAUGCGCUCGACGGUGAGGGAUGAAAGCUGGGGGAGCAAACCGGAUUAGAUACCCGGGUAGUCCCAGCUGUAAACGAUGCAGACUCGGUGAUGGACUAGCUUCAUGCCGGCUCAGUGCCGCAGGGAAGCCGUUAAGUCUGCCGCCUGGGGAGUACGGUCGCAAGACUGAAACUUAAAGGAAUUGGCGGGGGAGCACCACAAGGGGUGAAGCCUGCGGUUCAAUUGGABUCAACGCCGGR